rnacentral:rRNA from 1 species
AUUGAACGCUGGCGGCAUGCCUUACACAUGCAAGUCGAACGGUAACAGGUCUUCGGAUGCUGACGAGUGGCGAACGGGUGAGUAAUACAUCGGAACGUGCCCGAUCGUGGGGGAUAACGGAGCGAAAGCUUUGCUAAUACCGCAUACGAUCUACGGAUGAAAGCAGGGGACCGCAAGGCCUUGCGCGGACGGAGCGGCCGAUGGCAGAUUAGGUAGUUGGUGGGAUAAAAGCUUACCAAGCCGACGAUCUGUAGCUGGUCUGAGAGGACGACCAGCCACACUGGGCCUGCGACACGGCCCAGACUCCUACGGGAGGCAGCAGUGGGGAAUUUUGGACAAUGGGCGCAAGCCUGAUUCAGCCAUGCCGCGUGCAGGAUGAAGGCCUUCGGGUUGUAAACUGCUUUUGUACGGAGCGAAAAGGCUCUCUCUAAUACAGGGGGCUCAUGACGGUACCGUAAGAAUAAGCACCGGCUAACUACGUGCCAGCAGCCGCCGUAAUAC